UUGGGGAUUUAGCUCAGUGGUAGAGCGCUUGCCUAGCAAGCGAAAGGCCCUGGGUUCGGUCCCCAGCUCCAAA
rnacentral:tRNA from 1 species